CAUCCUCAGGCCAGCUGAGAGAUAUAGCCUCUCCAGAGUGUCCUAGGUCUGCCCUGGGCCUCUUUCUCCUUUUCUCAUCAGCCUCUCUUCAACGUGAAGGAAUAGCAGUUCUACUCUCAGCCCCUUUUGAGUAACUGAACUCCCCAGCCUGUCUUUAAGGGAGAGGCAACACCCUUAGAGAAAGUUCAUUUUUUUCAUCUGUCAGUCCUCUGCUCACCUCUCCCCAAACUUGUAAACAAGACCCAGAGAAGAUUAAACUCCUCCGCUUGAUGCUGCAAGUCAUUAUUUUUUAUUGUCUUUUUCUUAAUAUAUUCAGAUAAUUCUAAAAAAUAUAUGUACAACAGUUUGUUUAUGCAGUCAGCAUUUGUAUAUAUACAGCAGCACUCUCAAACAAGCAAUAGUGAACGCACCUGUAUGAGGCAAAUUCCACAAUUACAGUUCAAUCAGUCCCCCCACUCUGACACUUUUUUCCACUUUAAGUGAGGAAAUGGAAUUAAAUCUGCACACAUCUUUAUCUUUUUUGGACAUAUCAACAUAUCUUUUUAAGGUUAAGAGAAUAUGGUCAUCAGAUUGGAGAAGCUGAACAAUCAGAGCUGUGAUAAUGAUAUUUAAGGUGUUUUGACUGGUUCAUAAUGUCAGCUCACAUGAAAAAACAUCCCAUGCUAAAAGUUGCCGCUAGCUGCUGGUUGAUGGUGAGCAGCACGGUGAAUUUAUUGUGUAUUUUCCACAGUCUGUACAGAUGAAGAGUAGCAGAGCUGGAGAUGAGGCAGGAGGAAGAGUUGACUCAAUUCAAUUUCAGUUUAUGUAUAUAGCGUUAAUCACAACAACAGUCACCUCAAGACACUUUAUACCGCAAGGUGGAGGCCCUAUUGUAAUACAGAGAAAACUAAAAUGAUCAAAACAACCCCUUUUGAGUGAGCACUUGGUGACUGUGGGAAGGAAAAAAACCAUUUUAACUGGAAGAAACUUCCAGUAGAACCAGGUAUAGGGAGGGGCAGCCUCUGGGGACUGGUUGGAGUUGAGGGGAGGGAGAAAGGACAAAACACAUGCUGUGGAAGAGAGCCACUCUAUGAGCUCUUCAUUCAGUUUGUGGACUGUGGUUUAGCUUGACUCCAUGAUGUUUCUGAACUAAUGCUUUGCUCAAUUAAUGUUGCAAUGAAUUAUAGGUGGAUUUUACUGAUAUUCUAUCUUUAUGUUGUCACCAAACAGAUCUACAGAUUUGGGACUAGCUACAGGCUCCUCCACCCCUGCUGACUCUUCUGUCCUGCCCAGGAUGGCGCCCCUGGUGCCCCCUCGUCAGGUCCAGCAGUCCUACCGUCCAUCCAACAGCUCCUUCUCCCCUCUUACAGCCCCUAUGGGAGCUCCAUCUAUGGUGGCUACAGGCCUUACAGCUACAGCUACAGUGGCGGCUAUGGUGGUGGCUACAGCCUGGGAGGAUACAGACACACACCUCACCUUGAAGACGUCCCCCCCAGCAGACACUAAGUGGGCGAGCGAGGAGGACGACCACAUGGUGGCCAGAGGAGAAUAUGACUUUACAGCUGCUUCAGGAGGAGCUUUCUAUGCGAGCUGGAGAGAUGGUCAACCUCGCUCCUAAAGAGCUACAGCCCUGUGUGCGUGGCUGGCUCCUGGCCAGUGUGGACGGUGAGACCACAGGCUCGUCCCAGCCAGCUACAUUAAGAUCCUCAGCAAGAGAAGAGACCGCCGGGCCACAGAUAUGGAGAGUCCCGCUCAGGCCCAGCAGGCAAACACGCAGGCACCCCAAACAACCUCAGCUGCACAAAUCUGUGCCUCUCCUGCAGCCCAUAAACGUACAGCAUCUACCCGCAUCAUGUAGAGUACAUGAAUGACCCAUCUCGUCUUUCAGCUCAGUCUCGUCAGAUUCAUUAAGUUCAGCUGUGUCCCCCUCCUGUGUGCAGUUUCCUCGUUUCCCUCUGCGUGUAUUUAUAGUAGUGAUGGCCAAACAAAGCUUUCUGAAGCUUGUGUUGAAAAACGAUUCAUUACUCGAAGCUUUUUAACACAGUCCUCUCUGGUGACAUCUGGUGGUCACAAAUAUGAAGAGCAGCUUGAAUCUACAAAAAAAUGACCUGCUUCAUUAUGAUUGCCCACUCUACAGAGUGGAAUUCACAAUUCACAAUUGGACGUCACUGAUCACGUGACUCUGGCCAAACGAAUCAAGCACCGACAGAGUGCUUCUGAAGCGGGGUGUUGGUGUUUUUUGACACGCGCCAGAGUGUCAGCUUCAAGUGGGCCAUCACUAAUUUAUAGCAUUUGUCCUCUUGUGUGCGUUACUGGUCCGUCUGUGUUCCUCCAUGCUGUUUUUCCUGCUUGUCAUCCUUUGUGUUACCUCCGUUCCCUCGUGUCCAGGUUUGUUAUUUGGUUCUCAGCUUUCCCAGUUUAGGUUUUCUUAGUUUUGUUUCUCGCCUCCCUUGCCUUUGUUUGUAUGUCACUCUCCAUAAAUAAAGCUCUCUCA